GGGGAAUUUUGGACAAUGGGGGCAACCCUGAUCCAGCCAUUCCGCGUGAGUGAAGAAGGCCUUCGGGUUGUAAAGCUCUUUCGCAAGGGAAGAAAACUCGAUCUCUAAUAUAGGUUGAGGCUGACGGUACCUUGAUAAGAAGCACCGGCUAACUACGUGCCAGCAGCCGCGGUAAUACGUAGGGUGCGAGCGUUAAUCGGAAUUACUGGGCGUAAAGCGUGCGCAGGCGGUUUUGAAAGUCAGAUGUGAAAUCCCCGGGCUCAACCUGGGAACUGCGUUUGAAACUCCAAAGCUAGAGUAUGGGAGAGGGAGGUAGAAUUCCACGUGUAGCAGUGAAAUGCGUAGAGAUGUGGAGGAAUACCAAUGGCGAAGGCAGCCUCCUGGCCUAAUACUGACGCUCAUGCACGAAAGCGUGGGGAGCAAAC
rnacentral:rRNA from 1 species